rnacentral:lncRNA from 1 species
UGAUGAAGUCAUAUUUUUUGUAAAAUUAGGAUCAGCAUAUGUGAUAUGAAAAAGUAUAUUUUAUUAUGAGCAUUGAUUGCAUGAAUGUAUUUUAUAAAAGUUGCAUGAUUAUGAAGCAUGAGAUUUUAUUCUAUGUAUAUGUAUGGUUUAAGAAAAAGAUAUAAAGAUUUCAAAUGCUCUCAGAUAGCUAUGAAUGAAUUUCUUCGGGAAGGUC